rnacentral:tRNA from 1 species
GGCAGGUCAGAGGCGUGAUGGCCACUGCACCGGGCCUUCUCUUGAAAACUGUCGUGGCGGCAACGUCACCGUGGGUUCAAAUCCCACAGCCU